rnacentral:rRNA from 1 species
CCUACGGGUGGCAGCAGUAGGGAAUCUUCCACAAUGGGCGAAAGCCUGAUGGAGCAACGCCGCGUGGGUGAAGAAGGUCUUCGGAUCGUAAAACCCUGUUGUUAGAGAAGAAAGUGCGUGAGAGUAACUGUUCACGUUUCGACGGUAUCUAACCAGAAAGCCACGGCUAACUACGUGCCAGCAGCCGCGGUAAUACGUAGGUGGCAAGCGUUAUCCGGAUUUAUUGGGUUUAAAGGGUGUGCAGGCGGAGGUGCAAGUCAGUGGUCAAAUUGCGGGGCUCAACCCCGUACUGCCGUUGAAACUGCAUCCCUUGAGUGCGCGAGAAGUAUGCGGAAUGCGUGGUGUAGCGGUGAAAUGCAUAGAUAUCACGCAGAACCCCGAUUGCGAAGGCAGCUUACUAAACUGUGACUGACAUUGAUGCUCGAAAGUGUGGGUAUCAAACAGGAUUAGAUACCCUAGUAGUC